rnacentral:piRNA from 1 species
CAGAAAUGACCUACAAAGCCUA